rnacentral:lncRNA from 1 species
CUAGAAGAAAGUACAAAAGUGGAAAAAGUUGGUAAAAAUGAGGUAUGGUGCUCAAAAGUGGCACCUGCUACUUAUAGACCUCUGCUGGGCUGUCAUGUUCGCUAGGCGAGCAGAAUGGCUCGCCUAGCGAGGGUCUAAUAUGGGCACAAAAGGCCCCUGCGCCCAGAGAAAACAGGGCCUGCUGAACUGUCAUGUUCGCCUAGCGAACAUACCUUCGCCUAGCGAAGGACACGCUUCAACCUUCGCCCCAGCGAGGUUGAGAGGUUUUGCUACUGGAAUGCUCGCUGGGGACUCGCUAGAGCUUCGCCUAGCGAGUGAGUGCUGGCUGCGCUUUUCACCAAAACAGAAUGAACUCGCUACCACCUUCGCCUUCAGCUCGCCUGGCGAAUUAAUUUGACAAUUUACUGGAGCUUUUCGCCUGGAGCUCGCCUAGCGAAGCAGUGCUUCGCCACAGCCUCGCCUAGCGAGCAGGCUGAUGAAAUGCUUGUAUUCUUUGGUUCCUUUGCCAAUUUUCUUGUGUCUUCAUUUUCAAUUAGUUCGUGCCUUUUUCCUGCACAAUAACACACAAAUCAAAGGCACCAAGCUUGUUUAUCAAUGUAAUGCAUUCCAUGUAAAAUAAAUAUGGUUUUGACAAUUUUAGCAAGGAAAAAGAGUGAAAGAUGCCCACAU